rnacentral:rRNA from 1 species
GACGAACGCUGGCGGCGUGCCUAAUACAUGCAAGUAGAACGCUGAAGGAGGAGCUUGCUCUUCUGGAUGAGUUGCGAACGGGUGAGUAACGCGUAGGUAACCUGCCUGGUAGCGGGGGAUAACUAUUGGAAACGAUAGCUAAUACCGCAUAACAGUAGAUGUUGCAUGACAUUUACUUAAAAGGUGCAAUUGCAUCACUACCAGAUGGACCUGCGUUGUAUUAGCUAGUUGGUGGGGUAACGGCUCACCAAGGCGACGAUACGUAGCCGACCUGAGAGGGGGAUCGGCCACACUGGGACUGAGACACGGCACAGACGCCUACGGGAGGGAGCAGUAGGGAAUCUUCGGCAAUGGACGGAAGUCUGACCGAGCAACGCCGCGUGAGUGAAGAAGGUUGUCGGAUCGUAAAUCUCGGUUGUAAGGGAAGAACGAGUGUGAGAGUGGAAAGUUCACACUGUGACGGUAUCUUACCAGAAAGGGACGGCUAACUACGUG